AGCCAGACUCCUACGGGAGGCAGCAGUGGGGAAUAUUGCACAAUGGGGGAAACCCUGAUGCAGCGACGCCGCGUGAGUGAAGAAGUAUUUCGGUAUGUAAAGCUCUAUCAGCAGGGAAGAAGUUGACGGUACCUGAGUAAGAAGCCCCGGCUAACUACGUGCCAGCAGCCGCGGUAAUACGUAGGGGGCAAGCGUUAUCCGGAUUUACUGGGUGUAAAGGGAGCGUAGACGGCAGUGCAAGUCUGAAGUGAAAGCCCCGGGCUUAACCCGGGAACUGCUCUGGAGACUGUACGGCUGGAGUGCUGGAGAGGGAAGCGGAAUUCCUAGUGUAGCGGUGAAAUGCGUAGAUAUUAGGAGGAACACCAGUGGCGAAGGCGGCUUACUGGACAGUAACUGACGUUGAGGCUCGAAAGCGUGGGGAGCAAACAGGAUUAGAUACCCUAGUACCU
rnacentral:rRNA from 1 species